UGUGCUUGCCUUCUUGUCAAGAAUCAGGGGGCGCUUCCGGGUUGCUGACAUCAUACAGUCCAAGCCAUAAGUACCCAUUUUUAUCUCUGUUUGGCUGUCGAGAAAUCGAGCGAGAAACGCUGAGAAAGUGACGCCACGCAUUUUUAAGUUCCCGUCGCCCAGAAAUGACUAGUGGGGUUACACCUUCAGUUUCCCCAUCCCAUUUCUCAAUUCUUCACUCUAAACCAAAGAUUACCCACCUUUCAUCUCCUUCAAAUCUCAAAUUUCGACCGAUUUCACCAAUUGGGUCUCCCAGAUUCGUAGUCCGUUGCAGCUCUGGUGAUGACGACAGCAGGACUGUUCUAAAUGCCUUUUUCUUAGGAAAAGCUUUAGCAGAAGCCUUAACCGAGCGCGUUGAGUCAACAAUUGGAGAAGUUUUGAGUGGGAUUGGUAGGCUGCAAGCUGAACAACAAAAACAAAUUCUUGAUUUCCAAGAGGAGGUGAUAGAAAGAGCCAAAAAAGCCCAGGAAAAAGCCGCACGUGAUGCCAAAGAAGUACAAGGCCCGAUCUCUUCUUCUUCUUCGAUAAGAUCGCCUACGAUCGAGGUUGCUUCAUCUUCUACUACUUCGACCAACCAACAACAACUCUCGAAUCCCAGCUCUGAUUCAGGAACUGCUCCGAACCAGGAUCCUCCUCUUGGCGACGAAGAGUAAUUAAUUGUGUCUUUGUCAAUUUCUCUUGGUUGUUUUAUAUAGAAGACUUAUAGUGAAUGUAGCCUUUAUAUACUGAUGAUGGGUUGGGUUGAUUCGUCUUUCAGAGAUAUCUUAUGAGAUUCUAGAUAUCUUAUGAGAUUCUUGACGCGAUCGAACACAACCCAUUUAGUAAUAUUAUUAUUUGAAAUUUUGAAUAUAGGAACGAGUUAAAAAUGACUGUUAUAGUCAA